rnacentral:rRNA from 1 species
AACGUAGGACACGAGCGUUAUCCGGAGUUACUGGGCGUAAAGCGCGUGUAGGUGGCUAUGCAAGUCGGAUGUGAAAGCCCUCGGCUCAACCGGGGAAGUGCACCCGAAACUGCAAAGCUAGAGUCUCGGAGAGGAUCGUGGAAUUCUCGGUGUAGAGGUGAAAUUCGUAGAUAUCGAGAGGAACACCGGUGGCGAAGGCGGCGACCUGGGAAGAUACUGACGCUGAGAUGCGAAAGCGUGGGGAGCAAACAGG